CUACUGUCUAGUGUCAGCUUUGCUCAAUGUGACGGAAGCAUUUUGCAGAACUGUUGUAGAAAGCUGCCUUAUAGUUGGCUUGAUGAAGCAUAAUUCUUUCACAACAAGCUUACAAAUCAUUACAGGGCAGGCUUAGCUACUUGAGUUGAUGUGGCUGAGAAAUCCCUUCUGGAAGAAUAAAUGGCAAGGAAGGGUUUUCUGGCACUCCAGGUGCACUGGCCAUUGUGAAAAACAGCUUCUGUUUUCAAAUCUUCCCUUAUUUUUGUUAUUUUUAUUUUUUUUCCAGCGCUUGGACCAGAACUUACUCAUUGUAACUGAAUCCCCAGGUUCUGAUGAUGUCCUGGGCAUUUCUUGUCUUAGAUCAUGGAGUGUGCAUGUGACACUUAAAUAAUUUUCUGUGUAUUUAAAGAAAACUGCACCAGGAUAGUGUCUGUGCACAUGACUGUUGGAGGAAAGUAUAGGAAGUACAUGGUUUGGCUGCCUCAGUAGUGGGAGCACCAGGCCUCUGCCAUCUGUGGAGCAAGUGGAGCCCAGCAGUCCUGUGUGAAUACUGCAGUCAGUGUCGGGUGGAGUAUGGGGACUCUGGGCCAUACCAUGGGAUGGGCUCACCAUGUUGUCCAGACUGGUCUCAAACUUUUGGGUUCAAGCGAUCCUCCUGCCUCAGCCCUCCAAAGUACUGGGAUUACAGGCAUGAGCCCCUGCGUCCGGCCCUUAUUUUUUAUUUUCUGGAGGUCCUGUGCUAGCCAUCUCAUUUCUGAACUCCAAGAUGGGGAGAAGCAGCAGGAAGCUUUCACAGUUUGCCACCUGAAUGGAAUGAGGCACCACAGCCUUGGUCUCCUGUGUCCCCAUGGAACUCACCCUUCAGAGUCAAACUUUGUUUGCCAAAGGUGGAGAUGA
rnacentral:lncRNA from 13 species